UCAAGCAUUAAGAGCGCAGGGUGGAUGCCUUGGCACUGAGAGCCGAAGAAGGACGCGGCAAGCUGCGAAAAGCUCCGGGGAGGCGCAAACAGCCCGAGAUCCGGAGAUAUCCGAAUGGGGAAACCCGCAUGGAAAGACUCCAUGCAUCCAUACGCCAAUCCAUAACGUAUGGAAGGGAACCGGGGGAACUGAAACAUCUAAGUACCCCGAGGAGAAGAAAGAAAACUCGAUUUCCGAAGUAGCGGCGAGCGAAAUGGAAAGAGCCCAAACCAUGGUGCGUGCACCAUGGGGUUACGGACUGCAUAAGGUAUUUGAAAGGAUAGCCGAAUGGUUUUGGGAAAGCCAUCCAGAGAGGGUGAAAGACCCGUAGGCGAAAUCCUUGAGAAGCCGGCAGGAUCCAGAGUACCACGAGACACGUGGAACCUUGUGGGAAGUCGGGGGGACCACCCCCCAAGGCUAAAUACUCCUCAGUGACCGAUAGCGCAUAGUACUGUGAAGGAAAGGUGAAAAGGACCCCGGGAGGGGAGUGAAAGAGAACCUGAAACCUUGUGCUUACAAGCAGUCAAAGCACGUUAAAGUGUGAUGACGUACUUUUUGUAGAACGGUCCGGCGAGUUAUAGUAACGAGCAAGCUUAAGGUAUUCAGUACCGGAGGCGAAGCGAGAGCGAGUCUGAAUAGGGCGUAAAAAGUUCGUUGCCAUAGACCCGAAACCGGGUGACCUAACCAUGAGCAGGCUGAAGUGAGAGUAAAAUCUCAUGGAGGGCCGAACGCACGUUCGUUGCAAUGACCGGCGAUGACUUGUGGUUAGCGGAGAAAUUCCAAUCGAACUCGGAGAUAGCUGGUUCUCCCCGAAAUAGCUUUAGGGCUAGCGUUAUCUUAGAUUACCGGAGGUAAAGCACUGAAUGGGCUAGGGGGCGAUAAGCUUACUGAACCCUAUCAAACUCAGAAUGCCGGCUAAUUGAUGGAUAGCAGUCAGACAGUGUGAGAUAAGUUUCAUUGUCAAAAGGGAAACAGCCCAGACCCACAGCUAAGGUCCCUAAUGUAUGCUAAGUGGAAAACGAUGUGGAAUUGCGAAAACAACCAGGAUGUUGGCUUAGAAGCAGCCACUCAUUAAAAGAGUGCGUAAUAGCUCACUGGUCGAGUGACCCUGCGCCGAAAAUUCAACGGGGCUAAACAAUGUACCGAAGCUUGGGAUUCUAAAGUAAUUUAGAGUGGUAGGAGAGCGUCGAAUAAGGGGUGAAGUCAGAGCGGAAGCGCUGGUGGACUUUAUUCGAGUGAGAAUGCCGGAAUGAGUAGCGAGAAUUAUGUGAGAAUCAUAAUGGCCGAAAGACUAAGGUUUUAGAAGGAAGGUUCGUCCGCUUCUAGUUAGCCGGGAGCUAAGGCGAGGCCGAGAGGCGUAGUCGAUGCACAUACGGUUGAGAUUCCGUAGCUACCUUGCAUUUAAGCGAAGGGACACAUUUGAAGGGCAUGACCCGGGCGUUGGUUGACCCGGGCGUAAGGGACCGAAAAUAAGUAGGGAAGCAUGCUUGGAUGGUGGCGAGAAAAGCUUCGUGUAUAUAAGCAGGGUACCCGUACUGCAAACCGACACAGGUAGUCAGGAAGAGGAUUCUAAGGCCAUCGGGAGAAGCGUUGUUAAGGAACUCGGCAAAUUGACCCCGUAACUUCGGAAUAAGGGGUGCUCACGCGAGUGAGCCGCAGUGAAUAGGUCCAGGCAACUGUUUAUCAAAAACACAGCUCUCUGCUAAAUCGUAAGAUGACGUAUAGGGGGUGACGCCUGCCCGGUGCUGGAAGGUUAAGAGGAGCGCUUAGCAUUAGCGAAGGUGUGAAUUGAAGCCCCAGUAAACGGCGGCCGUAACUAUAACGGUCCUAAGGUAGCGAAAUUCCUUGUCGGGUAAGUUCCGACCUGCACGAAUGGCGUAACGACUUCCCCGCUGUCUCCAACAUAGACUCAGCGAAAUUGAAUUCUGAGUUAAGAUGCUCAGUACCCGCGGUUAGACGGAAAGACCCCGUGAACCUUUACUAUAGCUUUGCAGUGGUAUUAGGUGACAAAUGUGUAGGAUAGGUGGGAUGCUAUGAAGUUAUGACGCCAGUUGUAAUGGAGCAGACGUUGAAAUACCACCCUUUUGUUAUUUGAUAUCUAACCUGCUUCCCUGAACGGGAAGAGGGACCCUGCAUGGUGGGUAGUUUGACUGGGGCGGUCGCCUCCCAAAGAGUAACGGAGGCGCGCAAAGGUUGGCUCAGACUGGUCGGAAAUCAGUCGUCGAGUGCAAUGGCAUAAGCCAGCCUGACUGCGAGAGAGACAUUUCGAGCAGAGACGAAAGUCGGUCAUAGUGAUCCGGUGGUCCCGAGUGGAAGGGCCAUCGCUCAACGGAUAAAAGGUACUCCGGGGAUAACAGGCUGAUUCCGCCCAAGAGUUCACAUCGACGGCGGAGUUUGGCACCUCGAUGUCGGCUCAUCACAUCCUGGGGCUGGAGAAGGUCCCAAGGGUUCGGCUGUUCGCCGAUUAAAGUGGUACGCGAGCUGGGUUUAGAACGUCGUGAGACAGUUCGGUCCCUAUCUGCCGUGGGUGUAGGAUACUUGAAAGGAUUUGUCCUUAGUACGAGAGGACCGGGAUGAACAUACCUCUGGUGUACCAGUUGUUCUGCCAAGAGCAACGCUGGGUAGCUAAGUAUGGACGGGAUAACCGCUGAAUGCAUCUAAGCGGGAAACCCACCUUGAAACUAGGUAUCCCAAUUAAGACCGUGGUAGACCACCACGUUGAUAGGUCAGGUGUGUAAGUACAGCAAUGUAUUUAGCUAACUGAUACUAAUAGUCUGAUUGGCUUGAUUUU
rnacentral:rRNA from 1 species